rnacentral:rRNA from 1 species
GCAUAUUAAUAAGCGGAGGAAAAGAAACUAACAAGGAUUCCCCUAGUAACUGCGAGUGAAGCGGGAUGAGCUCAAGCUUAAAAUCAGUACGUAUUUAAAUGACUUGCCGAGUUGUAGCUUAUGGAGGCAGUUAUCGACUCUACGACAUAGUAAAAGUCCUUUUGAAUAAGGCAUCAAAGASGUGAAAAUCCCGUGUUUGCUGUGUUAACAAGUAGGGCAAAUGUGAACUGUUUUCUUUGAGUCGGGUUGUUUGGGAAUGCAGCCCCUAAUUUAGGACGGUAAAUUUCUUCUAAAGCUAAAUAUAAGCAAGAGACCGAUAGCAAAACAAGUACCGUGASGGAAAGAUGAAAAGCACUUUGAAAAGAGAGUGAAAAGUACGUGAAAUUGUUGAAAGGGAACCAGUUGGUAGCCAAGCUUCGAUUUUUUGCGGUAUUUUAUACGUGAUUAACGACGGUCAACAUCGGUUUCAAGUCGUGUGAGAGGAGAUUUUGCAGGUUAGAUGAGGAASGUACAGUAGUCAGUUUAAUUUAAACAGCGGUAUUUGUUAUAGCCUCAAUGGACUUUGCUGUAUAUGCCUAGACAUGACGGAGACCGAGGAAGGCAGUGUUCUUUCUUUGAAAAAAGGAAGGCGGGCAGAAUCCAAGACGCGGUAAUUUGUUUUUUUAUGUUUUGCAGACAGCAAGCUGACUGUGAUGAUGGAGACGAUAUACUUAGUUUUGGAUUGUGACUAAAAAGCACUUGCGCGAUGUUGGCGAAAAGGCACCAAUUGAC